GGCGAGCUGUCCCCGUUUUGGUAAGAAAACUACCUCUGCCGACUGUCUGCCGCGGCAGGAUUCCGGCAGGAAUUUGCAGAACUGUUCGUAUUGAUUAGUCACGUUUGGGAGCCCGUAUCUUUUGAACCAUAGACUAUUUUGAUCCGAUUUUUUUUGCUGUAGUUAUAACACAUCUAUAUCUACAUAUUAGAUCAGUUUUUGAACCCAUUUUAUGCCAUCUUCACUAGUGAAUCGUUGUUGCAAAACUGUUUUCUUAGCAGCCCCCCCAACCUUAGCCGUUUCUGUCGCGACAGAAAAACAGUACUGUUUUGAGUAGCUUCAUUCCAGGCCAUGUAACCUGUAAAACAUAACUCCUUUUCGUCCAAUUCUUUUUUUUUUAUUUAGAGCACACCUUUAUCUACAGUUUGGACCACUUGGUGCACUUUUUCCCACACAGAAACACUAGUCAAUUUUAAAUCAAACUUUGUAUCUUUUAGCACUGUCUUAUUGAUUAGCAAUGUUCCAAAGCCCAUACACGCUGAUCCCUAGUUCUAAACCGGUUCUUUCUUUCUGUGUUGACAAGAAUAAACCCAACUCUUGAUUCUGGACUACUUUGUGCAUCCUUUUAAGUUCAUCUACCAUAGCCCAUGACCCCUAGAAAAUUGUAUCUGUUAACAGCCAAUGACUUCACUGUUUCAACUCCGAUAGAACCCAAGUCUUGUUCCUACCUCUUAAAUCUAUGCCUAGGAUAGCCUAACAGUAGUUAGGUACUGUUUAAUUUAAACUUUGCAUAUUGUUUUUGUUUUUUAUUUAGAUUUAUGAUUUGCAGUUGUCGAAUGGUUAUUUAUUAUUGCUUUUCGUUUUUCACGAUAGAUUAUACGAAGUGCGAUAACUGUGAGUAUCAAAAAGAAGAAUACAAAGACACUAAUCAGGCAAGUUCUCUUUGAUCAUAAACGCCCAUUACAAGUUCUUAUUUUAAAUACUUAUGCACUAGUGUUGUGUAGUUUGCAUUUAUAGGGAUAUUAUUUGUAUCUAUGCUAGCUAUAUUUUGUCCUAGUAGAGUGGGAUACGUGUGCCAUUAUCCUUCCACCAUUUGCCAUCGUAAGUAGUUGAUUUUCUAUGCUAUGUUAGUAUACGUGGGAGGGAAUCUCAAUUACCAUGAAACUGAUAAUGUGGAACAUUUUGGAAACCUGGCAAAAACAACUUUAACGAAUCAUCCUAGGUUUUCGAGAUGUUAUGCGACGUCAGGUCCAUUUUUAUGGGUCCCUCUGAGUCGACUCCCCGUGGAUUUGGGGAGGGAUCGUCCAUGGAUGUCUUCCCAUGGAUUUGGGAGCGCUUGCGUCGCAAGUGUGGAAUGCCACCUGGGGUAUCAGAGACUGGACUAGUUUUCUGUUU
rnacentral:lncRNA from 1 species